rnacentral:rRNA from 1 species
GGUUAAGCGACUAAGCGUACACGGUGGAUGCCCUGGCAGUCAGAGGCGAUGAAGGACGUGCUAAUCUGCGAUAAGCGUCGGUAAGGUGAUAUGAACCGUUAUAACCGGCGAUUUCCGAAUGGGGAAACCCAGUGUGAUUCGUCACACUAUCAUUAACUGAAUCCAUAGGUUAAUGAGGCGAACCGGGGGAACUGAAACAUCUAAGUACCCCGAGGAAAAGAAAUCAACCGAGAUUCCCCCAGUAGCGGCGAGCGAACGGGGAGGAGCCCAGAGCCUGAAUCAGUGUGUGUGUUAGUGGAAGCGUCUGGAAAGGCGCGCGAUACAGGGUGACAGCCCCGUACACAAAAAUGCACAUGCUGUGAGCUCGAUGAGUAGGGCGGGACACGUGGUAUCCUGUCUGAAUAUGGGGGGACCAUCCUCCAAGGCUAAAUACUCCUGACUGACCGAUAGUGAACCAGUACCGUGAGGGAAAGGCGAAAAGAACCCCGGCGAGGGGAGUGAAAAAGAACCUGAAACCGUGUACGUACAAGCAGUGGGAGCCUCUUUAUGGGGUGACUGCGUACCUUUUGUAUAAUGGGUCAGCGACUUAUAUUCUGUAGCAAGGUUAACCGAAUAGGGGAGCCGAAGGGAAACCGAGUCUUAACUGGGCGUUAAGUUGCAGGGUAUAGACCCGAAACCCGGUGAUCUAGCCAUGGGCAGGUUGAAGGUUGGGUAACACUAACUGGAGGACCGAACCGACUAAUGUUGAAAAAUUAGCGGAUGACUUGUGGCUGGGGGUGAAAGGCCAAUCAAACCGGGAGAUAGCUGGUUCUCCCCGAAAGCUAUUUAGGUAGCGCCUCGUGAAUUCAUCUCCGGGGGUAGAGCACUGUUUCGGCAAGGGGGUCAUCCCGACUUACCAACCCGAUGCAAACUGCGAAUACCGGAGAAUGUUAUCACGGGAGACACACGGCGGGUGCUAACGUCCGUCGUGAAGAGGGAAACAACCCAGACCGCCAGCUAAGGUCCCAAAGUCAUGGUUAAGUGGGAAACGAUGUGGGAAGGCCCAGACAGCCAGGAUGUUGGCUUAGAAGCAGCCAUCAUUUAAAGAAAGCGUAAUAGCUCACUGGUCGAGUCGGCCUGCGCGGAAGAUGUAACGGGGCUAAACCAUGCACCGAAGCUGCGGCAGCGACACUAUGUGUUGUUGGGUAGGGGAGCGUUCUGUAAGCCUGCGAAGGUGUACUGUGAGGUAUGCUGGAGGUAUCAGAAGUGCGAAUGCUGACAUAAGUAACGAUAAAGCGGGUGAAAAGCCCGCUCGCCGGAAGACCAAGGGUUCCUGUCCAACGUUAAUCGGGGCAGGGUGAGUCGACCCCUAAGGCGAGGCCGAAAGGCGUAGUCGAUGGGAAACAGGUUAAUAUUCCUGUACUUGGUGUUACUGCGAAGGGGGGACGGAGAAGGCUAUGUUGGCCGGGCGACGGUUGUCCCGGUUUAAGCGUGUAGGCUGGUUUUCCAGGCAAAUCCGGAAAAUCAAGGCUGAGGCGUGAUGACGAGGCACUACGGUGCUGAAGCAACAAAUGCCCUGCUUCCAGGAAAAGCCUCUAAGCAUCAGGUAACAUCAAAUCGUACCCCAAACCGACACAGGUGGUCAGGUAGAGAAUACCAAGGCGCUUGAGAGAACUCGGGUGAAGGAACUAGGCAAAAUGGUGCCGUAACUUCGGGAGAAGGCACGCUGAUACGUAGGUGAAGUCCCUUGCGGAUGGAGCUGAAAUCAGUCGAAGAUACCAGCUGGCUGCAACUGUUUAUUAAAAACACAGCACUGUGCAAACACGAAAGUGGACGUAUACGGUGUGACGCCUGCCCGGUGCCGGAAGGUUAAUUGAUGGGGUUAGCGGUAACGCGAAGCUCUUGAUCGAAGCCCCGGUAAACGGCGGCCGUAACUAUAACGGUCCUAAGGUAGCGAAAUUCCUUGUCGGGUAAGUUCCGACCUGCACGAAUGGCGUAAUGAUGGCCAGGCUGUCUCCACCCGAGACUCAGUGAAAUUGAACUCGCUGUGAAGAUGCAGUGUACCCGCGGCAAGACGGAAAGACCCCGUGAACCUUUACUAUAGCUUGACACUGAACAUUGAGCCUUGAUGUGUAGGAUAGGUGGGAGGCUUUGAAGUGUGGACGCCAGUCUGCAUGGAGCCGACCUUGAAAUACCACCCUUUAAUGUUUGAUGUUCUAACGUUGGCCCCUAAUCGGGGUUGCGGACAGUGUCUGGUGGGUAGUUUGACUGGGGCGGUCUCCUCCUAAAGAGUAACGGAGGAGCACGAAGGUUGGCUAAUCCUGGUCGGACAUCAGGAGGUUAGUGCAAUGGCAUAAGCCAGCUUGACUGCGAGCGUGACGGCGCGAGCAGGUGCGAAAGCAGGUCAUAGUGAUCCGGUGGUUCUGAAUGGAAGGGCCAUCGCUCAACGGAUAAAAGGUACUCCGGGGAUAACAGGCUGAUACCGCCCAAGAGUUCAUAUCGACGGCGGUGUUUGGCACCUCGAUGUCGGCUCAUCACAUCCUGGGGCUGAAGUAGGUCCCAAGGGUAUGGCUGUUCGCCAUUUAAAGUGGUACGCGAGCUGGGUUUAGAACGUCGUGAGACAGUUCGGUCCCUAUCUGCCGUGGGCGCUGGAGAACUGAGGGGGGCUGCUCCUAGUACGAGAGGACCGGAGUGGACGCAUCACUGGUGUUCGGGUUGUCAUGCCAAUGGCACUGCCCGGUAGCUAAAUGCGGAAGAGAUAAGUGCUGAAAGCAUCUAAGCACGAAACUUGCCCCGAGAUGAGUUCUCCCUGACUCCCUGAGAGUCCUGAAGGAACGUUGAAGACGACGACGUUGAUAGGCCGGGUGUGUAAGCGCAGCGAUGCGUUGAGCUAACCGGUACUAAUGAACCGUGAGGCUUAACCUU